rnacentral:rRNA from 1 species
UACGUAGGGGGCAAGCGUUGUCCGGAUUUAUUGGGCGUAAAGAGCGUGUAGGCGGCUUUACAGGUCCGUUGUGAAAACUCGAGGCUCAACCUCGAGACGCCGGUGGAAACCGUAAAGCUAGAGUCCGGAAGAGGAGAGUGGAAUUCCUGGUGUAGCGGUGAAAUGCGCAGAUAUCAGGAAGAACACCUAUGGCGAAAGCAGCUCUCUGGGACGGUACUGACGCUGAGACGCGAAAGCGUGGGGAGCAAACAGG